GGGAAAUGCCGAGCCCCAACGAAUCAAUUUUACUUUGCAUGAGGGAGAACAGUCGCUAAUUAACAGCCAGUUCUUGAAAUCACGCAGUCCUGAAAUCCAGCUGAUGCUGCUCAGCAGAGAAGCAGAUGUUUGGAGGUUAAAACAAAGUCACAAGUCUGACCCACACAGGGAGAAGAUUAUGCAAGAGCAAAAGCACCAGAUGGAAACCAUGGGGCCAUCUUAUAGUCUGUCUGCCGCAGAAAGAUGAACACAAAUCCUCAUGCAGAAAAGUGUGACACUAAAAGAACCAACCUGAUACUACUAUCCUUAGAAAAGCCUGCAUACAAGGUUGGCUGUCAUCUGGGAAUGUAGGUGAUCAAGAGUUCUCUCCACUGACGUAAACUUUCUUUAAAUAAUAAGGAUGACUCAUUGUGACUAGACUAUGCAAAUAAUGGGAUGUGUGUUAAACAUCUCCUUUCCUUCUGGGAGUCUGGAAUUUUGGUGUAUGCUAAACAGUGGGUGCCUGCAAGACCAGCCUCAAAUAAAAACCCUGGGCACUGAGUCUCUAAAAAGACUCCCAGUAGGCAAUAUUUCACACGUGUUCUCACAACUUACUGCUGGAGGAAUUAUGCACGCCUUGCAUGACUCUAUUGGAAAAGGACUCUAGGAAUCUUGCACCUGAUUCUUACCGACUUCUUCCCAUAAUCUUUUUUUUCCUUGUAUCCUUUCCAUGUAAUAAACCUUGGCCAUGAGUCUUGUGAGUUCUUCUAAUGAUCAUUAAACUGGGCGCUGGUCUUGAAGACCCUUGACACAGUUAGUCUAUUUGGGAUUCCUACUAGAGUAUCGAUAUGAGUUGAACUGUGUUUCCCCAGGAAGAUGUGUUUAAGUCCUAGCCCCCAGUAACUGUGACUGUGACCUUAUUUGGAAAUUGGGUCUUUCCAGAUGUGAUCAAGUUAAGAUAGGGUCAUACUGAAUUAAAGUGAUUCUCAAUCUAAUGUGACUGGAAUCCUAAUGAGAACAGAGAGAGAGACAGACACAGAGGGAAGAAGGCCAUAUGAAGAUGGAAGCAAAAGUUGGAGAUAUACUGCCAUAAAUCAAGAAGCACCUGGGGCAGGUAGAAGCUGGAAGAGGAAAGAAAGAAUCCCCUGAGCCCUAGAGGCUGCAGAGGGAGCGUGACCCUUUGAAAACCUUGAUUUGGGACUUC
rnacentral:lncRNA from 1 species